rnacentral:misc_RNA from 1 species
UGGUCUUUCAGAAUGAAACUGAUUAAGCUACUGUUUUUACUCUAAAAUGAGCUGAGGAUUAACAUCUUCCAUGGCUACAUGAAAUGCCUGAAAAUUUUGUUGAAUUGAUGUCUAGAAAAUUGUCAACCUUUCUUUUUCAAUCUCAAACAAAAUAAAUUAGCAUGAGAGCUCCUGAUAUGCAGCAAAUGUCUCCUUCUAACUUAUAUUUCAAUAUAAUGGAAUUAUUUUAUUCUCUC